AACGAGCGCAACCCUUGUGUUUAGUUUGCAAACAGGUCAAGCUGUGCACUCUAGACAGACUGCCGUGGACAACACGGAGGAAGGUGGGGAGUGACGUCAAAUCAUCAUGCCCCUUACUGAUCUGGGCGUACACACGUGCUACAAUGGCCGGUGCAACGGGCAGCGAAGGAGCGAUCCGGAGCGAAUCCUAAAAAGCCGGUCCCAGUUCGGAUUGCAGGCUGAAACUCGCCUACAUGAAGUUGGAGUUGCUAGUAAUCGCGAAUCAGAAUGUCGCGGUGAAUGCGUUCCCGGGUCUU
rnacentral:rRNA from 1 species